ACACACGUCUUUUCAUUCCCCACUUUCAAAGAAGACAGAGGAAGAGAACAGAGAAAAAGGGAGAAGACAAAGCGAGAUCAGGAAGUCACCGUCAACCGGCGAUGGAGGCUGCCCGAUGCGAAGUCGGGUCAUCGCACUGGCGGUUAACCGCCGUAAUCCAAGUGGUGUCUAGGGUUUUGUUGGUAACAACAACUACACUAGCAAGAUGAUUCAUUCACAACAUGAACAUUAUCUUUCUUAAUCAACUGUUUGCAUCAAUUCAGGUAGCUUCUUGCUCUAUUUCUUCUUGUCUUUGUUUAAAUUCACAUAUUAAAUUCAAAAUCUCAUAUAGCAACAUGGAUCUACUGCCUUCAUUGAGUUCUAAACAUGUUGAUGCUGUAAUUUAGUUAAAUAGUUGUUUAGAGUUUUAUUCAAAUUUGGGUUUUAUUAGCUUUUGACAAUUAAGGAUUUUGAAUUUCUGAUGGUGUAUAGAAAAUUGGUGAAUUAUUUAUGUUACUUGGUAAAAUUAAGAACAUAAAGAAUUAAUGGAUGAUUAUUCCAAGUAUUCCCAUAGUCCUGCUCCUCUAGCUGUUGCUCAACGAGACCAUACCAUGUUUAAGAAACUUAUUACUAUCCUCCGAUAGUUGGCGAAAGCCGGUGCGGCUAACACCUAGGCUGAAUUUGUAGCUGCUGAUCUUGAUGCGGAUAUCACGUUGCUUAUGUUAGACCCUAAUUCCAUUCCGACCACAUUGACAGACACCGUGACCAUUUCGUAACCAUCGCCCUCUGCUAACCAAAAUUGUUGCCUCAGUUUAUAUUCUAAUACGCGGCAAGGUACCUUAAUCGAACUACCUUUCGAUUUCAAAUUACUUAUUCAGUUAGGUACCUUAAUUGAACUACCUUUCGAUUUCAAAUUACUUAUUCAGUUAAUUGGUUUGCUCAUUUUGUUGAACUCUGUUAUAAUACUCAAUACACCACAUUGAGAAGAGAAGGGUUCUAAAUAACAAAGUAUAAGCACAUUUGUAUAUGUAUUCUAUCUAUAUUUUUGAUUCAUAGAUCAGCAGAGGAAUCUGGUUGUGAUUCCGAAUUUGUGGGAUUGGAAGGUUGUUGUUGGCAUCUGCACGUCAUAUGGACAUAUAUUGAAGAAAAGAAACCUGUCAAGCCUGGUUUCAAUAAGCGAGAGCUGCGUAUAGGUCUCGAAAGCCAAGGUGCCAGACGUGAGAAUUAUAAAAAGUCUGAUGUUUGAAGAAUUUAUAUAUCAUAUUUAGCACACAGAUGUUGCUCAUAAUAUAAAAAAAUCACCAGCUGUUGACAACAAUCUCUACUGUCGUUGAUCUCAAUUACCCGGAGAAAACAUCACACUUUAUAUAGUAAAUGUGGCAGACGAGAGACGCGAGCUUGUAGGGGGAAAAAGUUGCUCAAACAUGUGGAUGAAUCUCAGGAUCGUACAAAAGGCUAUAGUUGAGAGAGUUGGCUAUUCUAAACAAUAACCUUCGAUGGCAUACUCCAUAGUAUGCAGCCAAGAGGCAGUGUGUCACCUUUUGAUUCCAACAGAAAAAAAAACGUGCCAAGACCGGGUUCCAAGGAACCCGACAUCGUAUUAUCAACCUGUGUGUAUUAGUGUACACAAUUAUUUAUAUAACGUUGUAGUUAUAGUUGUUACUCGGAUUUUGAUAACGAAUUAUGAUAAGCUUAAACACAACUGGCUUGCA